AAUGCACAGUUCUAUGGUUGCUAGGAGUUAGGAGUAGGGAGACUGAUCAACUACAAUGAAACCACACAAGAAAAAGUCUUGGGUUGAUGGUGCUGUUCUGUAUUUUUAUUAUGGUUGUGAUUACAUAACACUAUGUACUUAUCAGAAUUUAUAAAACUACACAAAAUCGGUAAAUUUUACAGUAGGUAAAAUUUUAAAAUUGCAUCUUCUUAGCAGUACCUGCUCUUUCAUAAGUUUUCUAGCUCCAUCUUCUUUUCCAUUUAUUCACUGAAAAAGUAAUUAUUAGUGGCUACAAGUUGCCAUACAUUGGAAUUAGAGAUAAACAUUAAAAAACAAGAUGAAAAUAUGUUUGCUUUCAUGGAGCUUACUAUCCACUCAGAGGAAAUAGGAGUUACGAAGGAAAAUGUAUAAUGUCGUCUGAUGAUACAGGGAUAUUAUAACCAAUUAAUGGAAAGAAACAUUUAAGACAACACCUUCCUCUAUGUUUACAUCAGGAUGCAUUUUUGUAAUUGAGUAUGUAUAUUAAUUAUAUUACAACAGACAACAAGUAUACCACAAAUAAUUCAACAAGUUGAAUUUUUACAUCCCAUUACUGUAAACUCACAUUCUUAAGAGGAUAUAAACGUCAUGUUAUGAACAUACACCAAUUAAAUUUUCCCUACAUAUAUCCAACAUCUUUUUAAUGUCACUUGCUUUAUUACAAUCUACACUCACUUGUUAUUGUGGCCAUUACUUUGCUGCUGCUUAAUAAAGGUCUUGUUCUUAUUAAUUUUUAUGAUAUCCUUCAUUGAGAGAAUUAAUUUUCAAACACACACAAAUACACACUUAAGGAUUCUGUACUAGUACUGGUACUUGUAUGUUUUAACAAACUUGAAUCCUUUACCGAAAAUAUUGUAUAGUAAUAUCAGAAAUCUUAUAAGUGAUAAUAUAAUUUUUACUAUACUAACAGAAAAUAAAGAAUAGUUGUUAGAGACCUGAAUUUUGUAUACAGAGCUCAGUUUAAAUCCCAUUUUAAUUAUUAAUUACCUAUAACAGUAGGUAAGUCAUACUCUGGCUGAGCUCCUUCAUCUGUAAAAUUAGUGUUUGGAGAGGGAAAAAGAUAGAUUACUUAAAAUGAGUUUGAAGAUGACUACCUAAUUAUUUGUGAGAAAAUAAACAUGGAUACCAAAUGCCUUAAACCAAAAUAAAUCCCUUGUGUUUAAAGAUUUAAAUCUAAAUACAAAACCAUAAAGUAACUAAAAUUAUUUUACUUUGGUUAUUAUAUAUGUAUAUUUUAGAGUUGAGGAAAUCCUUUAUACCCAUGAUGAGAACCCAAAAGCUACAUAGAAAAGAAUGUAUUUGAUAAAUGUGACCACACAACUUGUAAAAAAUCCUUUAACAAAAUAUAUACAAUUUUAAAGGACAAAAAAUAAAUUAAAUUAAAUAUACAGAAAAUAAAAUGAGCAAAAA
ensembl:lncRNA novel transcript